GAGGCUGGCCAGAACUACACACACUAGACCUCAAACCAGGGCACAGUUCCUGGCAGAGCCAUCACAUCCUGAGAGCAGAGGUCCUGCAGCUGUUUUGCGUCAAAUGACUCAUAGAUGCCACGCAGCAAACAAAAUUGUCCUCGGUUCAAAGAAUUUCCUUCAGGCAGUGACCUGAAGAGGGACACCUGGCCCUGAUGUCACAAAAAUGCUGAUCCUGAGGAGAAAUGGUUUCUGGAAGAUCAGCUGGGAGAGUCCUGAGCCUAACACCCCAGGACAGUGGCCACACCCAGUACCAGAGUGCACCCCACCUCCCUCCUGGGCUUUACAACCUGGCAUUUAAUUUGGAAGGAGACAUUUGUUUCCGGUGGUAAAGUGGAAGUUUUGAGAAAUAGAUGCCUUCUGUCUUUGCCUUUCUUGAUUUUCCUUCUGCCUCCUGAGCUGAGCAGACAGAGUUCAUUUUGAAGGAAAAGGGUGAAGAACCUGGGAAGGUGUUGACAGAAGUCUCUCAUUCCAGGUGACAAGAUAAUGUCCCACUCCUGGAGUAUGGAGCCAGAGAUGCCACAGCUGGGUUCACACUCUACAAAUUAUGGAUGUCUGUGCCCUGAAUGUCUGUGUCCUAGGGUGUGUACUGUCAUGUGAAUAUAUGCUAGAGCCUUCUCACCCAGGAAAAUUUCACAUGACUCAGGCAUAUGACUGUAUAAAAAUGGGUAUAGAAAGCAAAGAUUGGUGCCCGGCAUUAGUGGCACACGCCUUUAAUCCCAGCACUCGGGAGGCAGAGGCAGGCAGAUCUCUGUGAGUUAGAGGCCAGCCUGGUCUCCAGAGCGAGUGCCAGGAUAGGCUCCAAAGCUACACAGAG
rnacentral:lncRNA from 1 species